UCCGUUUGCUGGAUUUGAAUUAGUUGCAAUUUGUAGCUUGUUGACAUCGGUCGCCGAUGCGGACGGAUGUGUGUAAGAGACCCUGUAUUGUGCGUUGCGCUUGAAUAGUUAAAACGGUGCUGUGCGUUUCAGUGCUGUCGCGUGUGUCUGUUGGAUUGCAAGUCGGCCGAUUUCGUCAUAGUCAGUGUGACACAUAUUUACAUACAACAAACGCAUAUGUGUGUGUGAGUGACUGCAACACUAAGCUGUGCAUAAAUGUUGCACGAUUGCUACAACUGUUGCAACAUUGACAAUACCGCGCUUAUCUGUCCGUGUGUAUGUACUCGGACACGUCCGCGCGUUUGAAGCGCAUUCUGGCCGUCAAUAGAUUAAAUGUGGCAAACUGGUUGGUGAAAUCGCAGCUUUUGAGGCAAAUUCGUGUUUAUUGGUUUUGGGUGAGCGCAAAUGCGGUUAACGGCAAAUCGUGUUGCAUUUUACCGUUGCUCAUGUUGUGGUUGCAUUUGGAAAGUCGCGCAACGCGUUAAAUAAACGAAAAAGAAACACAUACAACCCAAAAAAAAGAAAGGAGAAGCAAACAAACAAUCCGAAAUAUUUUUAUUUUCACUUUGCAACCGGCAACGUGCCACAUUACGCUGUAGUGUUGUUGCGUAAAAUUGUGCAGUCAACCGGCAACUAAACGGCUUUGCGGUUCUCAGCAGCAAACGGCGAACGUUGCGCCGCACAUCACUCACCCUGCCACAAGCGCGCCAAGCGCACCCCACUGUCAGCGCAUCAAAUUGCCACUAAUGCAACAGCAAUAAUUCGUGCGCGUGUGUGUAAUUUUUGCAUUGCGGUGCGCGCUUUGAACUUCCGUUUCCGCUGCAAUUUCAACAGUCAAGUGCAACUGUGUUGGCAGCGCAGUGGUGUUGAGUGCGCGCUGCUUGUUGCAAGUGUCAAAUUAUUCAGUGCGCCUACAUAUCCAAACCGCCACACACAACGUUUUACCGUUGCAAUUGUGCCGCGCACUUAUUUGGCUGGUUUUUCGAAUUCGCUAGCGCCGCGUGUGGCUUUGUUGUUUAGUGCCGCGUCGCGUUGCAUUGCUCGGCGUUGCGUUUUUUGCGGUCGUUCGCGCGGUUUCGACAAUUUAUUGUGAUUAUGUUGCACACACAAUAAUGUGGCGGCAUCAGUGGUUGCAUUGAAAAAUAUUUACACACAUAGUUACAUAUUAAUACAAGUGUGUGUGUGUGUGUGAGCUGUGCUGUUGUGCAAAAGUGCAAAUACCGUUAUUCGUAAUUGUAGCGCAUUUUUCUGUGACGCUUGUGCCGCGCGCAUUUUAACUAAUACAGGAAAACGAGCGAAAAUCACGUGCGUCACACCGCAACGCAUUGUGUUUAUGAAUAUUUAUGAAGUCGAAAUUGGCGCCACAAAAAAGGACUUCAGUAUUUCAUUAGCGCAACAUAACCAACAACAAUAACAAGAAAAACACGCAGCGAAGGCAUAGUAACAGAAGCAUAGAAGCGCCGAAGGGUGUAAAUAAGCAAAAAAGGGCAAGGAGGCAAGGGUGAGAAUUUCACUCCAGAAGUCCCUCAGCGCUUGUGAGUGGCGUUGUUGUUAUAGCGCGUAGUUUACUCGCUGCUCGAGUCAUACCAGCAGUGUAACAAUUCUUCGUCUAACGGUAUUCGCAGUUGUUGCUGUUGUUGUUCUUGUAGUAGUGGUAGUAGUGCAGCACGUGCCGGCAUCAUUCCGUGCUCAACACACCGUGAAAUGUGCAAUUCUUGGCUCCUCAUAAUUGCGAUUACACUGGAAUGCUUAUGGAACUCGCAGCUGUCCGAAACAUCGAAAUCAUGCCCAGCCGAGUGCAUCUGCUUAUCACAGACACAAGUGCUGUGUAACACUGGCGGUCUGGCGCAGAUUCCAUUGCGGCAAUUACCCUCAACCGUGGAGAAUCUCGCAUUAACGAAAAACAAUUUCCCAGUCAUAAAACCAGAUUCCUUUGCCGGAUUGCGCGCGCUGAAGAAGCUCUCGCUGGACGGCAAUAAUAUAACGCGCAUCAAACAGUUCGCCUUUCGCGGUUUGCCGCGUCUCAAAGAGCUCUCCAUACAGUACACGCCGUUGCAGACUGUCGCGCAGUUCGCGUUUGCUGGUCUUCAAAAUCUAUCGACCAUAUUGCUAAGCCACAAUCAAAUUGCGACCAUCGAGGGUAACGCCUUCGCCGGCACAUCGAAUGUCAAAUUGAUUUUACUUUCGAACAAUCCACUCAUACGCAUCGACAGCUCGGCCUUCUCGAGCCUCACCAAUGUCGGUCAUCUGAUAUUACCGUCCGGCAUACGCACCAUCGAGCCGGAUGCCUUCCUCGGCAUGGACACGGUGGGUUUGCUGAAGCUCGCGUAUAUGGAUUUGAAGGAGCUCUCGCCAUACACCUUCCGCGGCCUGACAAAUGUGCUCCUGCUGACGUUGCAAGAGUCUGAUUUGGGCAUUAUAUGCGCCGACGCUUUCACCGGUCUAUCGCAGGUGGACAAACUACAGAUAUUGAAUAACAAAAUCGAUUUGAUUGAAGAACUUAACUUUACCUACACAGCGGAUAUAAAAUUGCUAAAGUUUCACGGCAAUCAUGUGUUGGAGACGCCCGAUCCCAACUCCAUAAUCAUCGAUGGUGUCUCACAGCUGGAACUGGUGAACAAUCAUUUUCCCUGCGGCUGUCACAUACACACGCUACUCGAUGGACCACUGGUCGAAGGCGCCCACAAUCUUAGUGAAUUUUUGCUGAAGAACUACUGCAUUUCGCCGCUGGAUGUAAACGGUCGCGCUAUGGCUGAGCUGGACAUCGAUUCAAUUGGUCGCUGUGAAGAUCAGCUGACGAAGGGCAAUCUCGGCUCGUCCGCCGCGUCGAUGGCGCUGAGUGUGAAUGUGACCUUGCUCAUUGCGGCGGCGACAAUUGAGCUUCGCAUCUUACGCACCCUCUCGCAACAGCUGCUGUUGUUGUGGCAGUAUCGUGUGCGUGGUUCGCGCGGUCGGCGGCGCCGUUGGCAUCUCGUCGCUAGAUGAAUCCAUGGCGGUGGUGGAGGCAACGUAGGAGGCUACACUUUUAGUGAUAUACAAACAUACAUUUAAGUACGUGUAAUUAUGGCAAAUUUUAUUAUGCGCAAUUUGCGGCGAAUUGAUGGCAAAUUAUGUAAUGACUCAAUUUGGUUUCGAAGAGACAGAAGAAGCCGAGUUACUUUCGAGGAGAAAAGCAAGUUAAGGAUUAUCGUAUAACUGCUUUCGACGCGUUAAAAAAACGACGCUUGCUACGAACUGCAGAACCGACUGCUAUAUGUAAUACUCGUAUGAUUUAUUGAAAAAUUUAGAUAUUUUUAUUUCACUUGAAGGUUGCCAUCUGUUUCGAAACUCUAAAUCUAUAAAAUUCGUAAAAUUAUCGUCUUAUUUUAAUAUGUGUAACAAACUAAAGAGGUUUAAGUAAAAUAAUAUUUUUCAAAUUUGUAGGAGGGUUGCCACCUGUUUCUAUAUUAAAUGGUAAUAAAUAAAAAAUGUAAAAAGUGGAACUACCACACUAAAUUUAUAAAUUUUAAUGAGUUUCAAAAGUAACACAGAUUCAAUAAGGGUUACCACCUGUUUAUAAUUAUUUAUGCAACCAAGCUGAUGAAACAAAUAAAAUAUUGCAACACAUACUGACAACUAGGCUGAACAAAUUUUUGUCGCAGAUAAUUCUGAAAAAGGUUGCCACACUUUGGUUUUUAAUUAUAUUAAACAAAUAAUUUUAAAUAUUGGAACUACAUUAAACACAUAAAAUUUAACGGGUUUAGGAGGCAAUACAAAUUUAAGAAGAGUUGCUACCUGUAUAUAAUUAUUGUUUUAGCCAAAUUUAUGAAAUAAAUGGAAUGAUGCAAUAUGGAC